rnacentral:snoRNA from 1 species
UUGAAAUGAUGAACUUGUUUAUCCAUUCGCUGAGUGCUGCUGGGCCCUGUCCUUGCAGCCCCCUGUGUCUGUUCUUGACUCAGGGGGUUCAGCGGCUUGACUCUUAUGUUUUUGCCCCAGUGUUCUACUGGGGUUAACUGCAUUGGGGGCAGGUAUGCUGGUGCAAUGGUUAAGGGACCGGCCACAACUAAGACGAGCGUAAACUCCUGAUCAC